GAUGAGAUUGUGAGAAAAACUUCCUGGGGAGUUGUCUCGGAACAUGGAGACACUAUGUGAAAACUGACCAGGGGAUUAGACACAGACACUUCCUGUGUGGUAACGGUAACGGUAACUUUCGGUCUAUUACUGUUAACAGUUGUCCAAACCUGUGUGUGCGGCAGCAUCUGUCCACACAGAUCACUGUACUGCAGACUGAAGAUAGAGGCUGGACCAACACACAACAUGGACCAGUGUAAAGUUCAGAUGAAUCUAGAGUUGGGCCACAGUGCCCAGCCAAGAGAGAGGGAAACAUCAGAGGACUUCACCCACGACUGGACUGUUUUUGUCCGAGGGCAAAAGACUGAUGAAAUUCAGCACGUGGUAGAGAAAGUUGUCUUCCACCUACAUGAGAGCUACCCCAAACCCAAGAGAGUAUUCAAGGAGCCUCCGUACAAAGUGGUUGAGUCGGGCUCUACUGGCUUCCUCAUGCAUAUCGAAGUUUUCCUCAAGAACAAGGACAAGCCAAAAAAGUUGUGUUUUAAGUACAACCUAAACCUUGAGCCAGGAGGCGACCACCUGCGUUGUGAGAAGCUCACCUUCAACAACCCCAACAAAGACUUCAAGAGAAAGCUGAUCAAAGCUGGAGGGAUGUUGCCAGAGGGAGCUGAGGCUUCAUCACGGUCCUGUCAAGACUCCCCAGUGCACCCAACAAAGAAGAUCAAGACCUGUCAUGUGUCAGAGCACUCUACUUCGAGAGGGUGAAACUACACCCCCUGCUGUCCACAGUCAACACCUACAGCAAUAGGGGUUUUAUUUCCAGUAUGUCAGUCAAGAUUGACGGCUCAUGGCAAAGGCAGAACCCUGCAAAGAAGGAAGUGGUAGCAGCAGACAAUGUGACGAGGGAGGAGCCAAGUAAACAGCCCUGAAAAGACUCUUACAGCAAGGCUACCUACAAAGAGGAUGAUAACAGAGGUGAAAGUGGCACAAGUUGUUGUUGUUGUUUUAGUCAAUAGCAUCUACAAUCUUAAAGCAUUGUCUACACGUAAAUGUUCGACAGUGAACUCCUGUCUGAGAUCGUCCUCCUGAGAUUAAUUAAAAUUGUGGUAACCACAUGAUUGUAACCCUACUAGAGUACACAGUGGUGCCAGGAGUGUAAUGUUUAUUUUAUUGUAACCUGUCAUCGCCUCUGUAGAUUUAUUUCAGAAUCAGAUUUAUAUGCAAAGUAAGCGUACGCUUAUUUUGACUCCUGUUUUUCAUUGCUCUCCAUUUUAAACGCAGUGCCAACAAGAUAAAUAGAAAUAAAGACAACACAGGGAAGUUGCGAUUUAGAUGAAAGUUUAACAUUUUUUUUAAUGUUAUAAUGUUAGAUUGGUUUUAUUAUCUGUAUGUGAAAUGAUGAUGUAAUCGGGUGUCACAAUGGAGUUAGGGUUAGAGGAUUUCUCACCUCCAUUUUACUUUUACUAAAUGUUCAUGUUUCUUGUGAUAUUUUUGAGAAAAUCCAAAUGUCAGAUUGUUUCCACCUCGAUUUUGUUAAAAUGCAUGAUUGUAAGGUGUGUGCUCAUGAGGAAUGAGGUGACUUCAGCCAUCCUACCAUUACCCAUUUAUUCAAAGAAGUGUUUUUGUCCAUGUUGAAUGGAUUUUCAAACAUUUUUUUAUGAUCCUCCAAAUGAGGACAUGCCUGUUGUAUAUUUUCUUUAUCGUUCAAAAAAAUAUGAACUGUAACAUCUACUGAUUCUUAUUCGAUGUUCUCUACUUGUCGAUCAAUAGAAUUAAUUUUUGCUACUGAUUUAUAAUAAAGUUAUUUUACAUGUGUGAAACCUGUGAA